GUUCUUAUCUACGAUCGUUUAUUACUAACAUCUCAUUGAUGGACAAUAAAGUAUUCUUGGUCACUUACAAAAAUAUCAGUAGUGGACAUUACUUAGCAGUGUUCUUUGUCCCUUUGGGCAAGUUCAUUAUCAGCAACUUUGUCGUUAAUUAUAUCUUCAUUGCAAUAUUAGCUACUAUACGACUCAAACAAAUGUGAUAUUAUUAAUUUACUAUACGACCCAAAACGAAUUGUGAUAUUAUUUUAAUCGUUUGACCACCCACACAAGUAAUUAAUGCUUCACGUUGCUUGAUCACAAAAGAAGAGAGAAGUCGCGCGUGGAUUACACUCGCGGGUGAUUUCUCUCCCAACUCUUCUUCUUCUUCUGAGCACAAUCUCUUGUGUCGUUGAUGGGGUCUCUGUUAAUUCCGGCGACGAUGAGACCCCGUGGCUCAUGGUUCUUCAACCGUGAUCCGCUACAUCUUUUCGGUGAAGCUAUCCAUACAAAAUUAAGGGAGCAGUAGAGAGGAGCAGAUUCCGCGAGACAACGCCGGUAUGAACUCUAUCGGUGAAGUAGCGACGCAGUGUGGAAGAGAGUCUUCACGGCGACGAACGAGGGAAGACGACGGUUAGAUCUAGGGAUUGGAGAUUCUGGAAGAUUCAAGGGGUCGCCUCGUGAUGGGGGAGGUCGACUCCGGCCCAGUGAAGCUAAGCCACCGUCGAUGGUCCUUAGAUCUACUCCCUACUGCCUUCAACUCUCAUGAUUGAGCUUGGAGAUUCACGACAAAUGAUGGUCGGAUCUCUUCUUCCUCCUCAAAACUGCUCUACGGUGGCGGGAUGGCAACGGAUCGUGGAUCACUAUCUCCGUUCGGCACGCGUUGUCCAGGCUCACCGGAGGUUUUCUGUUCCGGCGAGUUUCUGCAGUUCUUGGACGGCGGCUCUAUCGUGUUCUACGAUUAGAGAUUAGGGUUUUUCUUUAGCUCCGGUUCAGAUCGGUUAAGUAAAACCUAGUCGGUUUUAUAAUAGAUGGUUUAAGUCGGUUAGAUGCUAGUGGAUCGGGUCCUAAAGAAAAAAUGUAUGGACCUAAAUCCGGAAAUAUCUCAAUGGACCUUUUAUUUAUAAAAUUUGCAUACCCUUUAACAAAAAAAAAAAAAAAUUGCUUGAUCACCAUGUCGUUUUCUUUAAUCCCAACUUGACUUUCUGGAAAGAUUAAAAAGCUUGAAGAUCCUCUCCUCCACUUGAAGAGCUGCAUCGACAAUGUAGAAGACAAACACACACGAUGUCUCUCUUGCUUUCUUUUUUUUCUUCACUUUCUUCACUUUCUUAUUUAUUUUUAUCUUUUUUUUUCCUUUUUGUGUCUUUUUAUUUCUCCCACCUGUUUUUCGUUAACAUAUAAAAUAAUUCAAAGAAAUCGAUACAUUAAAAAAUACUAUAUGACAAUCACUUAGCCAAUUUUCUAAUACCGAAAAUUCAAACUCGUUCUUACGAUUAUCUGUAAAAAUAUGCAUAAGAGUAAAGAUGUAACAAUUGUUGCAUGAUCGAAAUAUAAAGCUUAUAAGUUACUGUGAAACAGCGAACACCACUAUCUAAUAAUUAUUCAUUGUAGCCAAGAUAUAAAAAAUUUAGGCUUAUCAUGUUAUAUUCUUAGAUGUGUUGUUUAAUAUUUAUAACUGAUAUCAUUUAUAAUACAAGUCCCUGUGAUUAUUAGUUAUUUUAGGUUUGUCAACUAUAUGUUGGUUUUAUAUCCAUUAACAAUAAACAAAACAAAAACUAGAUUUGUUUUAAUUUGCAAAUGCAAGUGUUUAAAGUAUCUUUAAAACAGAAACUAAAAGUGUAAAGACAAUGAAUAAAAGCUCAAGGAAUAAGAAAGGAAAAAAUGUAAAGGAUGCAUGAUUUAUGUAAAAGUAAGCAAUUUUAAAAAUAGAAAGAAAGAAAUAUAACUAAAACAUGUGAUAUUAGAAAACUAUAAUAUUGUCAAAAGAAAAAUGUGGGCUCGGGGUAGAGGAUCAUUGUGAGCCGAUGAGACGAUGGAGUCACGGGGUUAAACCUUGGUUCUAUGGGGUCAAUGUAAGAGUUUUGUAGCCAUUUAUCUCUAUAGUUCAAUCAUCAAAGACUAGACGUGCAUAUAUAAAAUUAAUGUAAGAAAACAUUGAACCUAAUAGGAUUAAAAUUAACCGGGCCUUGUGGCCUAGUGGUAAAGGGGUCACAGCUGUGACUUCCGCCACCAGGGUUCGAGGCACGGCUACUGGCAGGUUUACAUAGGGGAAUUGCCAGCCUCGUGGGAUUAGUCAUUGGGCCUAGGAAGCCUUUGGGAGACCCGCGGUUAUUCAAAAAAAAAAAAAUAGGAUUAAAAUUAAUUUACUUAAAUUAUCUGUUAGAAAUAGAUUUAACUAUUUCAAAUGGAUGAUUAUCUUCUCUACACAGCUACUAAACUAGACGAUUUAACUGAUAUUACGUUAAGACCAAACAUAUAUACUGUUUAAUAUCUGACUUUGUUUUAGAAAACAAUCAAUAUAAAAAGACAAAUUAAUAAAAAAAACAAAGACCCAUAAACCUAACGCAAGGUCAUUAAUGAAUAACCAAGACAAAAAUAUCUCUAAUAUAAAUAUUAUCCACUACAAUGCAUUCUUCACUCUGCGACACACAACAACAAUGGAGCUACUCACAAGCUUGACCAACUGGUUAACUCCGACGACUCUCUUCCUCCUCCUCAACUUCACGAUCGGCACUAUCUUCAUCACCAACCGGUUCAGUUCCGGUUCAAGAAAACACAACCCGAAUCAAGAUGGUUUCGGGUCGGGUCAUGACCAAAAUCAUGCACGGUUUGGCAGACCUCCUUCGCUCAUAGACAGAGUCAAGUCCAUCAACUUCCAUCUCUACAAUUCUCCUUCACCAGAAUCCGAGAUCCACUUCUCCGGGUCGGAUCCUAACCAGAAUCCACCUCCUUCUCUCUUGCAACGGGUCAAAUCCAUCAACGUGCCUUACUUCAAGUUCCCACAACACAAUUCUGAAGGAGAUUACGCUGCUUACGAGCUCAUGACCCGACCCGAAGAGACUAACAGGGUCGACCCGAUCGAUAAGAUCCCGGAAGAUGACGUCAUGACCGAACCUAGAUUCGGAGCUCCAUCACUCUUGCAGCGGGUAAAAUCCAUAAAGCUUCCUUCUUUAUACAGAUCCGACCCAGAUCCAACCCCAGAAGAGCAAACACCGGCGAGGACGAAGUCGGAGUCGAGUAAACCGGCGACGAAGAAGAAGAAGAAAGCUACAAAGAAGAUGAUGAAAUCUGCUAGCGAGAGACACAUCGGCCGGGAAGAGGAGACAGUUGAGGCCGUGGAAAAGAGAAGGCCGGAGACUAUGAGAGUUGAAAGAACGACGUCGAUCGGAGACGGAGGAGAAGAAGGUGUCGACGAUAAAGCUUCAAAUUUCAUCAACAAGUUUAAGCAGCAACUUAAGCUACAGAGGCUAGAUUCGUUUCUAAGGUACAGAGAGAUGCUCAAGAACGACUAAGUGAAGAUUACGCUUUUACCCUUAUUCGGAAUUGUCUUUCCCCGGCUUUCCAGUUUGGAGUUUCGUGGUAAAUACUCCCUGAACCUGAAGGGCUUUUAAGUAAUUUUGGAUCAUAUUUUAUAGUUUGUGUCUAGAUUUGGUGAUGACUGGAUGACAAAACUAGUUUGUGUCGUGUGCGUAAUUGCUGGAUCUGGACGUAUGAGUUCCACUGCACUUUUUUGUUUUUACUCGAUGGUAAAAGUAAAUUUUAUGCUGUUUUUACGUGGAAAAAGUAUUCUAAAAUAAUCUUAUUUUCUUUAAAUCAAACAUUCAUCGAUAGUUGCGACAGAAGAAAAACAUUCAUCUAUAAUUAAUUCUCUCGUCAGAUUAGAAAAACUACAAAAUCUACUACUUUUUCCCAAUUUUUUUCAAAAUCUACCACAUUUCUUCUCUUCUUUCAACUCAUACCACAUUUAGAUAUAGAAUUACCAUUUUGUCCUCCCUAUUUAUCUUCCCUAUUAAUCUCUCUUCUCUAUUUAUCUUUCCUCUAUAUUUAUUUUCUUUCCCUAUUUAUCUCUCUUCUCUCGAAACACGUGCGCUUUAACCAAGAAACAUUAAAUCUCAUGAAACUAAACAAUUAAAUUUCGUUCUUGUCUCUAGAUCUUGUCCCCGAUUUCAUCAUCUUGCUCUAUUAUCAUCAUCUUGGACUUGUCCUCGAUCUAAUUCUAUUACCCAUUCGAUCUGAACUUGUCCUCGAUCUAAUUCUAUUCCAGUUGUCCCCGAGUAAAUCCAGAUCUCUGGCGGGCAAAACUACACCAUCUGGCGAUGGACAGUCAAGAGAAUUGGAUGAUAAAAAUCAUCAUGCUCAAUUUUUGAUCUAAUUAUAUUACUCAUUCGAUUUGACUUGUCUCCGAUCUAGUUCUAUUACCCAUUCUAUCUGAAUUUGUCUCUAAUCUAAUUCUAUUACUCAUUCGAUAUGAACUUGUCCCCGAUCUCAUUCUAUUACUCAUUCGAUCUGAACUUGUCCCCUCUUUUAUCUAAUAUAUUAAAAGAGCAAUUAAUGGUCUAACCCUACUCUAUUAUCAUUUUUAUUAAUUAAAUUCAAUUAUCUAGCAAAUGUAAAUGUGCAGCAUUUAUUGCAGACCUACUCCUUCUUUGGAAGCGCCGGACGAAACUGUCUCUGUCUCUGACACAGACUAUGUCCCUGACACAGACUCUGUCCCACUCAGGGGUAUUUUGGUCCACAAUUCCGCAUGUGCUAUUGGAAUGUGGUAGAUUUUGAAAACAUUUUGAGAAUAUGGUAGACUUUGAAUGCCACUUGUUGAAAUGUGGUAGAUUUUGCAAUAUUCCCCGUCAGAUUCUAGUUUCUUGAAGUUUUUUAAUACUAAUAUACUACUAAAUAGUUUGAUUAAGAACAAUAUUUGUUAAUGUCAACUGGAUUUAUUGGUCUAUCUGUUACUUUCUUAUGGCAUGGAGUUGUUAUCAGUCUACUAUUUUUAUUGAACCACUAAUGACAACGACGGUUCUCACUCUCAUGAAACGUGCUUAUGUCAACAUACAUUUUAUGAAGCUAUUAAUCAUCUGCCAAAAUAUCUUGUGAGUGGAUAAUUACAAGAAUAUUUGUACUAUUAGAUUGAAUUUAGAAGACGUAUUAGAAUUUAGAAGACGUUAGAUAUCAUGUAAUUAAGGAAAAAGACAUUGCUAUUUUUCAGUUUGUCAUUAUUCAUGAUUUUGUAUGAAUGAUAAAAAAAAAAAAAGUCUUCAGUUAUUAUCAUGAAGUUUGUUUAAUUUGAGAUAUGACUACAAUGUCUAAUCACGGUCGACGAAGAUAUUUUUCGUAUAGAUAUUUUUCAAGAGUAUGGGCAAAUAUGAAAUAUCUCAAAUUAGAAAGAGUGUUAUAUGAUUAUAAUAGUUGAAAACUUGAAAUGAUCCAUAUGUUUCAGUUGACAUGCCUCCUUUAUACCGAUUUGAUAAAGUUUGUAUGAACAUACACUAUAUGUGAAUGUUUUUUCUCAUAGCUUCACGACGAUACUAAAUCAUUCAUGCAUGACAUUUUAUGGUAUGUAACUUAGAUGGGUGGGUAAUCUAAUUUGCAAAAUUUUUGGUUCUUAAAGCCCGACACAGGAAGGUACUCAGGCACCGGUUCCCCACCAAUGCCUUUUUGUGUCGAAAAUCUUGGUUGAAACUUCAUUCAAUCGUGUGAAGGGAGUACUAUCAAAACCCUAACUUAAUGACAAAUAGAAAAGUGACAAGUGCUCUUUCAGGUCACUGUCUCUAAGAUUCAAAAUCAGUUGUACUUGAUGCUCCUUUGCAGCCCUAGAGAACCUAAAGGGUUUUGUCCUGUCCUAAGUUUUGAAGAAUGGUUCACGGUUCACGUGAAGGGAAUCUAAAAGUCACGUGAGUCUCACAUGGUUUGAGAGUCUCUUUUUGAGUUAGAGUGUCUUUUCUGUCUUCUAUAAAGGCAAUCGUCUCAUCGUUUGUCUUAUUCGGUUUUGUGGUGGAACAGAGGAACGGUGCGAUGAUGUUGUCAAUGACUGACCAACCUCGAAAAUCAUUGUAAGAGUUUAAGAUACAUUAUGCUAUUUAGAUUUGUUAAUCAUCUUAAACCUUUCUCUCAUUAACAGUCGAUCGUUAUUUACCACACUAAAACAAUCUCUUGAGUGAACAAGCCGAUCACAAAAACGUAUAUCAUUGGCUAAAAAUUUAUUAUAUUUGUUUGAAACGCACUAGGAGCUAGAAUACACAUGAUGCAAAGUGAAGAACAAAACUACACGACGUAGAUGAAAAACAGAGAAAAUAACAAAUAUGAAAACAGAUAAUAUGUACAUGUGGUAGUAACAACAAAACUUACAUAGGGUGGCCAAAAAUCUCAUAAUUUGAAGAGACAUCAUUUUUAGUUGCGGGAGUGAAAUGGGAUAUGAUUUACUAUUCCCUAAUCCCCAUUUCCGCAUGGUCGUUUCAAAAAGUCCCGUUUGUCCACUCUUAGGCGCCGGUGAGAGAGUUUUCUAUUAGACCUCAUCGCAGAGGUUGGUUUCGCUGUGGAAGGCUUUCCAAAUUCCUCCUUGUCCUCACUAAAGGUCUUCAUCAGCGUCUCUUGUAGUUCCACGUACCUUUGCUUCUUCUGUAACCGUUUCUCAGGAGUGUCUUCUUCUACGCUAGCAAGAUGAUUCAAGUCCUCGGUGUCCAUAAAGUGAUCAAGCGAACAACGUCUGAAGUAGCGUUUCCCCAGUUCCACUGAUGAUACAAAUUAAAGAAAUAAACAUCAUUUCUUUGUUGGUUAGAAAAGAGAUGACAUAUACGAAUCAAUCCAUACCGGUUUUACAAACUGCUCUUAGUCUACUCAAAUGCUUCUCAUGGAUUUGGAAAGGCGCCAUAUUUAGGUCCAGUGAUGUCCGCUUUUCACCAAUGCGAUGAUCAGGCUCGAGACUAGAAGCUGUAAACUCGCAUGUUUCGUCCAAUUUGGCAAUAUCCUGUACAAUUUCAGAUUCCACUGGAAAGAGAAGUCGAGCAAGUGCAACUGAACAGUAUAGAUCAUAGUUAUCAUUAGUUCCACUCAGUUUCCUAUCCGAAAUUCGAUUUUCAAGUGAAAGAAGAAACCAUACCUCGAUUUUCAUAAUAGAGCAACAUCAUCCGCAACUCCUCGGGAGUCACUGGAAGAGAAAGUGAAGCUUCUCUAGGCAACACAUAUUCUAGUUUUUGUUCAUGCUCAAGUACCUCUAUGCAUAAUCCGCCUUUCAGAGAAUGUGUGCCGUCCUCCAUACUAGUUUUGUAGUCAUCCGUUUUAGUUAGUCGUUUUGCAAUCACGAGAGCGGUUCUACCAUCCAAUAAUGUAUCUAAUACAUUUGCCCCUUUCAUUAACAAAGAUAUUAUCAGUUUUGGCUCCUUCCGCAUCGCAGCAACAUGAAGAACAGUGUAUCCCCUUGGAUUUCUAUGGUUAACAUCCGCAAGCUCAAGCUCAAGGAGAUCAUACGCGGUCUUCACAUCACAAUGCGCGAUAGCAAAAUGAAGAGCAUACGCCAUAUCAAGAUUGGUAUGUCCCUCUAGCAAAAGCAUCUUGACAAGCUCAACAUCAUCAGAGUCUAGUGCCUUAUAUAAGUUCUUGACAUGUAUUUGUAGUUCAGGUGGCUCUAGACCAAGCGCUUUGCGGAUACCAGUGAUUUGCUUGACAAAGUGUUGAGGCAAAGACUUCUCAAGACUAACUAGUUCUAUAUCAGACUUGACGAUAAUCUCUAUGCAUCUAUCCAAAAGCUUCUUGUAUGUUUGACCACAAAGAGUAUCAAGCUUGAAUAUAACCAAGAUGUCUUCGACCACAACUUUGUCUACAAUUUUCAAGAAUUGUCUCUGAAAUGCAUAAAGAAGAGACUUAAAAUGAAAUUGCUUUUUUUUGACUGAUGUUAUGAAUCAAUGAGAAUUUAGCAGAUCGUAUUUUUUUACCUCAUACAUAGUAACUAGUUCCGGAAUCUGGAAAACGAAAGCCAAAUAAAGAACCUCCACCAUGAAAUCCACCUUUGGCCGGCAAGCCACGUGGCAGCAAUCGUCGUCUACGCAAUCAGAAGCUCCCUUCGGCGGCGGCCUCACUCUGCCGCUGUAAACAAACGCCAAAACCGCCGCCACCGAAUCAAAGCCGACUUCGUAAUCUGUGGCGAUCUUCUUCAUCUCGAGCUUCACGGUGGUGGAUUUUUGUUCCUUCACGGUGGCUAACGCACUUUUGAAGACAGGAAUUCUCGCCGAGAGAAUACAACGAUGGAAAGAAACUUCCCGGCCGCCAGCGAGAACUAGCUUAGCGUCGCUGUAGAAAUUUUCCGGUGAAUCAAAAACAGACUCAAGGCAAUUUGACAAAAGCUGAAGCGCUGAUACCUCCGGUGGUGUGAGAAAUUCCGACGGGUAAUCAAUAGAUGACUCGGCGGCGAAGAAACUAUUACCGCUUGUGUUGCUAAAUUCGUAAGAUGAAUCAGAGAAUCUAGCGGUGGUGGUAGCCAUCAUCACAAAAAUUCGAGAUCGGCGGGAAACAGAGUCAGAGACUCAGAGGCUAACAGUGGAAUUUCAAGAAACAACGACCGAAUCGUCUCAUUACCAAAUAAAGAAACUUAUUAUCAACAACGGUCUUACUCAAGCACCUUUUGUAAAUUUCUUGGAAACUAGAAUGAAAGGCUUGUGUUUGUAAACGGAAUAUAAGUUAAAUAAAUACUCUGAAUGGUAAACCAAGCGGUUUUUUUGUUUUUUCCUCUCUCCUCAUUAUGAUGGGUCCCCUCUUUAGCAUGUCUCCAAUUUACUAUUUGGCUCUAAUCUUAUGGAUUAUGUGACUAGACCAAAUUGUUGUUGUUCAGAACCUCAGUUAUAAUAGAUAAUUAGUGUUGAACAAGCUGAGCCAUUGGUCAAAUUAAGCAUAUUAUACUCAUCCAUCAUAACUGAUGUUGACAGAUUUUGACUUGACUAAAAUAUGGUCAUAGUCCAAUUAUUCAUCUUUUUAGUCUUAAUUCACAACAAAAUAGUUAACAUUGAAUAUCGAAAGACAGUAAACAAAAGAAUAAUGAUCGUUCCCACUACCCAAUAGGAUCAAAUAAAAAUGGUUAAUGAAAUUGAAACCUCUCUUUCGUCGACAAAGUUUAGAAAGCUAAGGAAAAAAAAACAGCUAAACAAAAAUGCAUGUUUGUUUCUACAAUUUCAACUCCAUGUUAAAAACAUUUGUCCCUUCCCAAAGAACAAAACAAUGAAGUAGUGAUGGCGGAGACUGAGAAGGGGAUGGUGAUUCAUUGAUUCUUAAAUUAAACACGAAGGUUUACUAUUAAAGUGAUUUAGAAAAAAUAAACACACCGAUAGAAAAAUGAUCAAAACUCCUACGAGCAUCAUCAAUAUGGAGAUGAAUUUUACUUUAAAAAACCCAAAACUUUUUCUCAAUCGUCAUUCUUGAUGAACAGACACAUAUUUUUCACGCAGUCCUUGUUUGGUAGAGCGUAGAGAUUACUGUUGCUUGCAUUCGGGUGGCCUCUCACCUCGUUCACCAUCACCAACUAUCUGAGAUCUCCCUCCUUUCUGCACUCCAAGCGGAAAAAAGAAGCAGAUGAUUCUCACAUUUAUGAUUUAUCACAAACAUAGACACUGAUUGCUACUAUAGGAAUGAAAUGAGUUCACAAACAUAGACACUGAUUGCUACUAUAGGAAUGAAAUGAAUUCAUGAGAAUGAUUAUGCUCUCGUACUACCCAUGCCAUGAUUAAAGAUCUUGUUAAGUCUCUGCUGCGUCAUUCAUGUAUCCUUCUCAGAGUCUUAUACAUAACGACCUCGUUACUGACUCAUGCUUUUUAGGCUUGCUCGGUGACUUUCAGAAAUCUGUAUGAUUCAUGGGCUUCUAGAGCCUCUGGAUUUCCUAUAUUUAUUCUAAGGUUUCAUGACCAUGCUCAGCCUAAAACUUCUUUAGAAGUGAAAAGUGACGGAUACAUACCUUGUUUCUGAUUGAUGGCUGCAAAAAGAAAUUAAAACGAUUUCAUAGGAUUAGUAAGAACUAACGUGGCAGGAAGAAUUAAAAAACAAAUGAAACAACUAUACCUGGGGCACUUUAUACCUUCUUUUUGGUCUUGCUUUCUUCUUCAUCCUCCUCAUCCUCAUCAUCAUCAUCCUCCUCAUCAUCUUCGUCUUCCUCAUCCUCUUCAUCAUCCUCCUCAAUGUCAUCUUCCUCAUCGCCGUCUAUUUCAAAAUCCUCUGCUUCCAUAGCCUCACCAGUAAACCAUGAGACAGCACGAGGAAUAAUCUUGUCCCGAAUAGUAGAUCUGCAGAAAGCAAAAGGUGCUUGUGAUCAGAUAAUGAAAGGAUAACCACCUAGUUUGCAGUGAUAAAGUAGAUCCAUGACUUAAAAGCAAACCCAUAACUCAACAGAGAAAGUGUGUUAAGAAAAAGACGAACCCAAUGUCAUAAUCUUGUUCCAUCAGAUUUUGAAGAUCCUCAGCCUGCAAAAUCGGGGAAGAAUUACUAAAUACGUUAACUAAAUAUGAUGACAGGUUAUCCUAAAGACCGUUAUCUUACUCUUUCCUCGUCGAUAUCUUCAUCUUCAUCCGGAACUUCUGGAGGACUAAAGAAGUUGAAGAAGCUUUCACAGUCUUCGGUUUUAAUGAUUGGUUUAGCAUUCUUUGAACCUUUCUUAGGCUUCUUCUUAAGAAUCUUCUGAGUUAGACACUUUCCAGGAUACCAAUCAAUUUCUGUCCUGAAAAUGUAUGGAAAGAGUCAGAAUCCAUUUGCAAUUUAAGUGAAGCAAAAAAUUCUACAGCUCAAUGCAAUCAGCUAAGCAGAAUAUACUGAAAAGUAUACAACAAUUGCAAGAGAGCAUAAGCAGUUACCCCGUAGCCUUCUCAAGCAGUGGCUCAUCUUCAUCAAUCAUGUGAUAAGACUUUGUCAAGACAGUGUUCUUAAAAUACGGAUUCGUAUCAAAGAAAAACUCAAGUUUAAAUCCUUUAGGUUCUUCAAUCUUGCACCACUUAAUAUCUUUAAGAUAUUUGAGAGCCCCUUCAUCACGCUCUGUGACCUGAAAUAAAUGACAAUAAGCUAGGCCCAUUUUCCAUGGUUAUGAUUGGAGUGUUUAUAAAAUGAACACCAAAACCGCAUAUAGGAUACCUCCUCGGAAAUAACAUCAUUGUUUUUCAGGGCUGUCAGCCAGAAACUUGGAACUCCUUUCUCUGCAAUGAAAUGCAUAGAAACAUGUUAAAUUGUUUUUGUUUUUCCCAAAAGAUUAAAAACAAACAAAGAAGACAUUAUGUUCAUGUAGUUACCUUCUGCAGUUUUUUCCUCUCCUUGGUCCACCUUAAUAUCCUCUGCAGCCAGUUCAACUUCAGUAGUUCCGUUUACAAUCUCAUAACGCUGUCCAUUACAAGAUGCCAAGUAGAAUUCAUUAGGAAUUUUUAGAUGCAUAUAUAAGUAACACUGCUGCAGAUAAGUAAACAUAAGCAAAAAGAGUAGACACAGAUCUCCAUUGAUUUCAGUAAAAUGGUUUGUGAUUUAACAGAGGAAGUAACAGAAAAUAAAACUUUCUCACUAAAACAAUUACCUUGGUAUACAAAGGCUGAUACAACUUUUGAUACUUGGCUUCAAGAAUAGCUCUCUCUUCACGGAAUUUUGCCUCUAGUUCAUCAUGUUGGCUCUGAGCGAAAAGAAGCCAUCAGUAAUCACUUAAUCAAAACGCAAUUAACUUACUUUGAAACUAAGCAAGGAGAGAAAACUCUCACAAAACAAAACAAAUCCCCAUUAAACGAAGGAAAUUUCUCUAACCUGUAUAUCCCUCAAGGCAUCGACACGCUUUCUCACAAUAGGAGUCAGAUUCUCGAGCACAUCAGAACGCUGACCCGCCAGAUUCUGCAGCUUGUUCUGUGAAUUAACACAUAUUAACAAAUCUCCAAGGAAUCUAUAAAGUAUCAUUAGAUUGAAACCAAGACACCAAACCAAUGUACGCCUUAUUAUAGUGUCUAAACAACAAGAAAGAUACUCUAAUAGAGAAACUCCAGAAAAGUAACUCAAAAUCCUUCAAUAGCAAUGCUUUCGGGAAUUUUAUUUCCAGAAGGAAAAAUAAAAACUGACCUUUAGAGCAUUGACAAGGUCAGCUCGAUCCCCAUCUUUAAGAGCUGCAAACGAAAGAACAAGAGUAAGAAAGUAGUGAUAACAGAGCAAAUUAGGGCUUAAGAGGCGGAGAAAUAGAUAAGAGUAAUCGGAGUGGGGAAAUUUUAACCAGCAGUAAGAUCGGAGACGUUGAAGUUGUCCUUGUCGUUGCUCAUCUUCUGAGGAUUUGGUGAAGAAAGUGAGAGAUAAGAGAGAGAUUUGAAGGAGAAGAAGCAGAAGAGACGAGGGUUUUUGGGGAGGCGACUCUUAACCCUUAAAAUCCUCUUUCUUUUUUUCUUUUUUUCUCUCCCACCAAAAUUAUAAAACCUAGCAACUGCCAUUUUAGUUUUUUUUAAUCGUUUUAUACAAAAAAUAAUAUUAAAAAAUAUUUCUUGAUUAUCAAAAACUAAUUAGUGUUUUAUUAAAUUAAAUACAUUACAUGCAAGACUUUAUUUUUAGCUAUAUAAAAAUAAUCAGUUCUCAUUAUCCAAGGAUUUUGAACUUUAGGAAACCAAAAUAUAUAUGAAGGGUUUAUCAAAAAUAUAUAUAUAUAUAUAUAUAUGAAGUUCAAGUUGGUAAGCUACAUAUAAAUAAAGGUUUGUUACAUAUAAAAAAAAAAAAAAAAAACAAACACUUCCUAAACUGAAAAUACCGAAUUUAAAGCCCAACCUAUAAUCAUAGAAACUUAUUACACCUCUGCAAAUAAAUAACCAACUAAGAUUGAAAUUUAUUAGAAGAUGAGAUGCCAGAUAAACCACUUGACUUGAUUCUUACUGAACUUCAAUGGGAUCAGAUAGAAGAUUUCUAAAUCUUUUGUUACUAAGGUCCAUCCCAAGAAUGAGCCUUCCCAGCCCAAUACACUGAUUACUUCUUUUGUAUACACACACUAAUUAAAAACAAAAAAAAAAAACAGUCCAUAACAAAAAUGUCACAUCCCAAAGGCCCAGAGAUCUUAAGAUUGGUUUAGCUCAUCUCGAGUUCAAACGAGUCCGAGGCUGGUUUGCCACUAAUUGGAGAAAAUGAAUCCGGCAUGCCAUUUUGUGAUCUGAAUGCCACUGUAAAUGUGAUAUUCCCAAAUUACCCUUAAUGAAAUAAGAGACGAUUGGUACAACUAAGAGAUAAUAGUACAACUAGUACAAUUAAGAGAUAAUAGGAAAACUGAUACAAAUAGUAUAACUGAGAGAUAAUUGGACAACUGGUACAAAUGGUAUUACUAAAAGAUAAUAUUACAAUUGAUACAAUUGGUAUAACUGACAUAUAAAUAGGUACAACUGGUAUAAAUAGUUAGGUACAAUGGUACAAAUAGUUAGGUACAACUGGUACAAAUAAGUAGGUACAACUGAAACGAAACAAUUGUAAUUCUAAACCCUAGCGUCGUCACACUUACUAAUUCGCCUCUUCUUGCUUUCUUCAUCGUCGUCGUCGCCGAUUAUCCGCCGUCAACCUUCUUUGUCGAAGUUUGUGAACCGUUUUUCUCACCAAACGAUUGCGCACUUCAAAGGACGAAAGCACGAGGAGAUAUCCAUGGAGAAGAAACAUGAAGAAAGAUUCAAUCUAUGAAGAAACGCAAAAAGAUAUCUAUGGAGAAGAUAGAUCUAAAGUUUCAUUGAUGAUGAUGAUGAUGGAGAAGAAGAGAUAUAAAGUGAAAGAUCCAAAAAAAAUCUAGAAAAAAUAAAAGAAGAAGAAGAAGAAGAAGCGUGAAAGAAGAAGAGGAGUGAGUUAGAUUGGUGGCAGGGAUACGUAAUUAUCAAAUUAGGGUAAGAGUUUUUGGCCCUUUUCUAUUUAUUUGAUUUAAAUUCUUUUAUUUUUAUUAUUCUAAAAAAUUGGGUGGCUUUCCAGCCUUUUUGUUCCCAUAUAGUGGCAUUCUAGGCAUUGUUUCAAACGAAUUAAACGUACUCUAAUCUAAGUCCUAAGAUUAGCUCAUCACGACAAUCUCAAUUUGAAGUUUCAACCUCUUGUACGGUCUGACCAGAAACACAAUAAAGAAGCAUCAUGCGUAGACAAAUUUAAACUAAUCAGAUAACUGUAAGAAUAUUCAUUCAUCCGACUAAAAGCAAAAGAGAAAAACUUUUUUUACCUCCAGGACUCCCACUUAGAAGAAACAUUUUGUAUAGCUUUCAAGUCAUGCAUAGCAAACACACCUGGUAAGUGGCCAAUUUUUUUAUAUCCUGUAACCAUUAUAAGGAUAAAAUAAAGUUGUCCUAUGUAAAAGCAAUGAAAUGAAAUUCUCAAAAAACCUAAGUGGUUGUAAGCGUGCUUGCUCAAACUCUAAAGUAAACCGGAUAAUUCUAAAACCAGUUUUAGUUUAGUUGGAUGAUUCUGCUCAAACAGUAGUGUUUUUGUGGCUUUAAAGAUGCUUCAUCAUAUUGUUUUAUAGAUGUUUGACAUAUAUUUAUUUCUUACAUCUCGCCAAGAUUAUUAGAUUGUUUUAUAAGCUUUCGUGAAAUCUAACAAAUCUAUUUCAAACGAUUUCUACAAUGCAGUAAAGUCCAUCAAUUGGCUAAUAGAAUUCUAGUAAACUCACACGUUAACAACGUAUUAUUGUGUUUUUCGUUCCAAAAUUUGUUUUAAGUUAGUUAUUCACUCAAUUCAAAUAGUGGCGUCUGUGCAUUAAAAGAUGGUUUAUCGUAUCUAUUAGGUAGAUAUUUGAAUAAAUUUCAUUAAAAAGCGUUUAUAUUUGUUUGCUAAAUCAUUAGAUUGUUUUAUCUACUUUCGUGGGAUCUGAUCUAUCUAUUACUCCACUUCACACGAUUUCUAGAAUGAAAUGAAGAAAUGGAUGAUUUGGGGAGAGUUUGGUUAACCGAUUAGUAACCGAAGCAUAGAAACCAAACCGAACGACACAGCAACAAAACCGGAAUCAUGCAGAGGUGAAUAAUUUUUAAUUUUUUUUUUUUUACAUUACCCGCAACUGCAAGGAAAGAGGAACCCAAACUUUGAGAAAAACAUCCUCAUCGUUUUCUGUCCAUCGAAGCUCUUUCUUUCUUUUUUUUUCUUUAUCUUCGUAUUCAAUUCUUGAGAGGAGAGAGAGAGAGAGAGAGAGAGAGAAGCAUCCCAGAAAACGACAUUCUGUUCAAAUGGAGUUUCACCAGAUCGAGAGCAUGAGGAAGAUGAUUACUGGGUUUUGAUUCGUAUAUCCACCUCUAGUCGGCGUAAAAUCUGUUUUUUAUUCCGUAAUCUCAUUGUUCGUGAUCUCUGGGUUGUUUCUGGAUUGUUCCCGAAGGGUCGUUUUUGGGCCAUUCUUCCUUCCUUUUGAAUCUGAGAUUGUAAUUAGGGUUUCGUGUUUAUUGAUGGAACCUCGUGUGGGGAACAAGUUUCGGCUCGGACGAAAGAUCGGCAGUGGUUCGUUUGGGGAGAUCUAUCUCGGUUCGUCACUCUCUCAAUCUUUUAAUUCUAUGGAUUCUCGAAUUCGCCACAUUGGUGUAUUUCGCAUCUCUAACAUUCUUUGUGAUUUCUCAGGUACUAAUAUUCAUACGAAUGAAGAAGUGGCUAUUAAGCUUGUGAGUUCUUCUUUCUCAGUUUUUUCAGUCAUCCCUUUUUAAUAAUUUGAUGAUCCAUGUCGUAGAUGUUGCUAAUAAGUCUAUAUAGUAACAUUGUCACAACAUGUUUUGUUUGAUCAAGUCCACUAUGUUCAAAGCUGAAAUUUUGAUUCUCUUUGUUUUUGUUUUCCCAGGAAAGUGUGAAGACAAAACAUCCGCAGCUGCUCUAUGAAUCAAAGUUGUACAGGAUUCUACAAGGGGGAAGUAAUGAUUCUUAUCUUCUGAAAUCUUCAUGUCUGAUUAUGUAAAGUUUGUGAUUCUUACCACCCUUUCUUUUGCCUUAACUUUGGUAGCUGGUGUUCCAAAUGUCAAAUGGUUUGGUGUUGAAGGGGACUAUAAUGUUUUGGUCAUGGAUCUACUCGGACCAAGUCUUGAAGAUCUCUUCAAUUUUUGUAGCAGGAAACUUUCCUUGAAGUCAGUCCUCAUGCUUGCUGAUCAAAUGGUAUACUUCUUCAUGUGAUCCCUUUCUCUCAUUUGCUCGUCUAUGUUUCAGGAAAUAUUGACUUCUUUCUUCCUUUGGUUUUUGUGAUAAGAUCAAUCGUGUUGAGUAUUUUCAUUCAAAAUCUUUCCUUCACCGAGAUCUCAAGCCAGACAAUUUCCUAAUGGGCCUUGGAAGGCGUGCAAACCAGGUUUAUCAUCUUAUGUCCUAACUAUAUCCUUUUGGAGACAUCAUUGUACUGACUAAGUUUAAUCCUUCUCUAAGGUAUACAUCAUUGACUUUGGUCUUGCUAAGAAGUACAGGGAUAGUACAACACAUCAGCACAUUCCCUACAG
rnacentral:lncRNA from 1 species